UCGCCUGUUUAUUCAAAAACAUGGCUUCCUGAAUUUUUAGUAAGGGGGGUCUGGCCUGCCCGGUGGGGGAAACUCUAAACGGUCGCAGCUGCCACUGUGCGAAGGUAGCGUAAUAGGUCGUCCUUUAAUUGAGGGAAAGUAUGAAUGGUCGGAUGUUGGAAAAGCUUUAUUAUAUAUAGAAAUUGAAUUUUACUUCUCUGUGCAAAGGCAGAGAUUAAAUUAUUAGACGAGAAGACCCUGUUGAGCUUAGUAAGUUAAUUUUAUAGUCUAAUGUUAGCUAUGUUUUUUCGGGGCUGAAAAGAAGGGAUGGAAAUGCCUUCUAGGUUAAAGUAAGGAUCCAGUAUGGCUGAUAAGUGGAAGAUAGCUACCACAGGGAUAACAGCGCAAUCUUCCUGAUAAGACCCUAUUUAAGGGAUGGUUUGCGACCUCGAUGUUGAAUCAGAAUACCUAUUAGGUGCAGCAGCUUAGUAAGUGGGACUGUUCGUCCUUUAAAAUUCUACGUGAU
rnacentral:rRNA from 1 species